ACUCCCCCAAGCUGGUGCGCUACAUCCAUGACCGGGGACUGAAGCUGGUUGUCUACUGGGACAUGGGCACACGCACACACGUGUGGGGUUGACCCUGGUACCCCCUUGGACAAGAUCACUAUAGAUGCUCAGACUUUUGAUGACUGGAAAGUGGACAUGCUGAAGUUUGAUGGCUGUUACCCCAACGCUACAGAGCAGGAGCAGGGCUCUGAAAUCUACCAGGCACCUCAUUGGUUACUGCUGCAGUUGGCCCGCCUACCAGGGUGGACUCCUUCCCUAGGCGAACUACAACCAGCUAGAAGAGAUCUACAACCUGUGGCGUAACUAUGGCAACAUAAAGGACUCAUGGGCUUAUUGUGCUGAGCAUCACUGAUUGGUUCUUCAACAAGCAAGAUGUCCCUACAGCCUAUUUUCUCUCUCUCUCUCCACACCAUAGACACAUGUUGGUGUGAGAGUGGUGAAAGGGUUUGCUGUCCCUUUUUUGCUUAUUUCUGUCUUUCUAUAUAUAUUUUAUUGGGUAGGUAGGUUAAGUGAUAUAUUUUAGUGGUUGUCAUGGUUGUCGUGAUGGAGACCAGGCAGUGAAUUAUCCGGUUUAGGUAGGUAUAAUAACUCUUCAAUCAGACAAUUAACAUGGAGUCCACCGAGCUACUGGUCCUCAUUGCUAGUGUCGUAACGUGACUUAUUUAUUAAAUGUGAAUACUGUUGUAUUAUCAAAUCAAUUCUCUAUCUAUAAUUAUUCUGUGAUUAAAUUAAUCACAGAAUAGUAAUUAACUAGGAAGUUGGGGCACCAUCGGAAAAUGUUGUUUAUAGAGUUACAAUUUCCCAAAUAUAACUCUUCAGAUAUUUUAUUAUCUUAUCGAUUACAGUCUUCUAUUAAUGUAUUAUUACCUCAUCAGUCUCAUUCCUGAAUGUCGCAAACCCUUGGAUAUCUGCACGAAUCCUGACAUAAAUCAUGAAUCAGAGAUAUACAAAUUGGCUUAAUUAUUUAUUUACUAAGUAACAAAUCAAUUACAUGAAUACACCUAGAGUAGGUCAUACAUUGUUUACUAACAUGUGGCAAAGAAAAGUCCCUAGUGGACGAAACCGAUAUGAUGGCUUGGUAGACAAAGGAAAGGGGUGGGGACAGCUCAAGAGGGGUAAAUUCAAAUUUUAUAACGAUACUCAUGGAAAAGCUAAUACUUUGAACAUGAGCAACCACUCAUUCGAAAAUAAAUGGCAAUUUACAUAUUUACUAUUGUAUGCCUUUGUUGUCCCUCUCUGCGAACACCGGUCCGUCUACUGGAUAGAUUGUAAAGUCUCUGGUUCGUCCACCAGAGAUCAAAGUCUUUCGUAGUUGUCGUUUUCUCAGCUGGCUCUGGAUAGUGUCUGUUGUAAUGGAUACGUCAGACGUACUAUUCGGUCGUUCGACCGGUAGCGUUUACCAGACUAAAGUACAGCUGCAGCCUGAAUAAUUGUUCUUUAGUUUGUAGAUUUCUUAGCCAUUUCAACGUAGAAAUGAUCUCUAUGUUCUCUGGUCUUGUCCUUCGGAGUUGCUAACCAUUUCAACAUGUAACGACAGCUUCCAUGUUUUCUGGUCUACUGUCAAUUUAUACAACAUUCAGAUGCAAA